AAAGACACCCCCGUGAUGGCUAACUCGUUAGCUUUUAGCAGCAAAAAUCGGUUUCCCGGUUUCAAAGAGGUGCGACUCGUCCCGGGGAAACACGACAUCUCCUUCGUGGAGUUUGAGAGCGAGACGCAGGCGGGCGUGGCUAAAGACGCACUGCAAGGCUGCCGAAUCACAGCCACCUGCGCCA